GAUGAACGCUGGCGACAGGCUUAACACAUGCAAGUCGAGGGGCAUCACAGAUGUAGCAAUACAUCGGGUGGCGACCGGCGCACGGGUGAGUAACGCGUAUGCAACCUGCCCAUCAGAGGGGGAUAGCCCGUUGAAAGACGGAUUAAUACCGCAUAAGACAGCCGUUCCGCAUGGGACAGACUGUUAAAGGAGAAAUUGCUGAUGGAUGGGCAUGCGUUCCAUUAGGAAGUUGGCGGGGUAACGGCCCACCAAUCCGGCGAUGGAUAGGGGUUCUGAGAGGAAGGUCCCCCACACUGGUACUGAGACAGGGACCAGACUCCUACGGGAGGCAGCAGUGAGGAAUAUUGGUCAAUGGUCGGAAGACUGAACCAGCCAAGUCGCGUGCAGGAAGAAGGCCCGAGUAGGUUGUAAACUGCUUUUGCAGGGGAAUAAAAGCCGGGACGCGCUCCCGGGUUGCAGGUACCCUGCGAAUAAGCAUCGGCUAACUCCGUGCCAGCAGCCGCGGUAAUACGGAGGAUGCAAGCGUUAUCCGGAUUUAUUGGGUUUAAAGGGUGCGUAGGUGGCCAUGCAAGUCAGUGGUGAAAGCUUGCCGCUCAACGGCAAAACUGCCAUUGAAACUGUGUGGCUUGAGUGCAGACGGGGCAGGCGGAAUGCGUGGUGUAGCGGUGAAAUGCAUAGAUAUCACGCAGAACUCCGACAGCGAAGGCAGCCUGCCAGACUGCGACUGACACUGAAGCACGAAAGCGUGGGUAUCAAACAGGAUUAGAUACCCUGGUAGUCCACGCAGUAAACGAUGAUUACUGGGAGUUUGCGAUAGACAGCAAGUUCUACAGCGAAAGCGUUAAGUAAUCCACCUGGGGAGUACGCCGGCAACGGUGAAACUCAAAGGAAUUGACGGGGGCCCGCACAAGCGGAGGAACAUGUGGUUUAAUUCGAUGAUACGCGAGGAACCUUACCCGGGAUUGAAAUGUGCCUGAAGGCAGGUGAAAGCCUGCUGCCGUCAAAGGCAGGCAUGUAGGUGCUGCAUGGUUGUCGUCAGCUCGUGCCGUGAGGUGUCGGCUUAAGUGCCAUAACGAGCGCAACCCUGACCGCCAGUUGCCAUCAGGUAAAGCUGGGGACUCUGGCGGGACUGCCGGCGCAAGCUGUGAGGAAGGUUGGGAUGACGUCAAAUCAGCACGGCCCUUACAUCCGGGGCGACACACGUGUUACAAUGGUGGGGACAAAGGGCAGCUACCUGGCGACAGGAUGCGAAUCUCCAAACCCCAUCUCAGUUCGGAUCGGAGUCUGCAACCCGACUCCGUGAAGCUGGAUUCGCUAGUAAUCGCGCAUCAGCCAUGGCGCGGUGAAUACGUUCCCGGGCC
rnacentral:rRNA from 1 species